rnacentral:ncRNA from 1 species
UCAUCCUGUAAUCCUUGAGAUUCGGUCAGGGAGCAUCCACCCCCGAGCCUAAUUCGGGGUAACCAGGGGAA